CUGGUUAGGUCUGUGGGCCAAGAGAAAUAGUGCGUGCGUGCGUGUCUUGGUGCUGCAGCAGACAGAUGAAAGCUCCUAGAAGCUGGCUGAGCUCUCGCUCCAUUAUACAGACGAGUGCCUCUAUUCUCUCCCUGUCGCCACACGCACACGCACACACUCCCAGAGUUGAAGUCCACAUGACUCCGCUGCCCUCUGUCUCCUCACGCCUCCAGGAGAAAGACAUCAACGCACACACACACUUCUAAUCUCUCACACGCAAGCAGGCGUGCCCUUCAAAGCCAAAGGAACUGGAGCAGAUGAGACAAAGAUGGACACGGUGGCUGUAAAGACACGAGCGGGCGUGCGAGUGUCUCCUGUGGCUGCAAGAGAAAGUCAUUAGGAGCUUUGAAGAUGAAUGUACAGCAUCAUCGGCGAGGGACUUGUGUGGCUCCGCGAGGACACAAAGGACAGCUGCUGAAAUCACUGAGUGGAAAAAAAGAACAACAAAAUCUGUGGACCAUCCAUGAUCCCAGUUAUUAGACAAUGGAGUGACUCUGGGAUCAGAGGAGGAGAUGUGAUGCUCUGGCUGGAGCUCCACAGGCCACAGAGAUGACACAUGGAUAAACACCAUGCCAGCAACAUGAUGACAUGAUGGGGCCUUAAUGAUAGUUCUUAGCACUUCAUUCUCAUCAGGGCUGUCAAGUCACAAAGGUUGACUUUGACUCCCUGUUGGAGCUCAGUCUGGGGGGAGUUAUUUUUUUCUCCUUA